rnacentral:rRNA from 1 species
GACGAACGCUGGCGGCGUGCUUAACACAUGCAAGUCGAACGGAAAGGCCCUGCUUUUGUGGGGUGCUCGAGUGGCGAACGGGUGAGUAACACGUGAGUAACCUGCCCUUGACUUUGGGAUAACUUCAGGAAACUGGGGCUAAUACCGGAUAGGAGCUCCUGCUGCAUGGUGGGGGUUGGAAAGUUUCGGCGGUUGGGGAUGGACUCGCGGCUUAUCAGCUUGUUGGUGGGGUAGUGGCUUACCAAGGCUUUGACGGGUAGCCGGCCUGAGAGGGUGACCGGCCACAUUGGGACUGAGAUACGGCCCAGACUCCUACGGGAGGCAGCAGUGGGGAAUAUUGCACAAUGGGCGGAAGCCUGAUGCAGCAACGCCGCGUGCGGGAUGACGGCCUUCGGGUUGUAAACCGCUUUCGCCUGUGACGAAGCGUGAGUGACGGUAAUGGGUAAAGAAGCACCGGCUAACUACGUGCCAGCAGCCGCGGUGAUACGUAGGGUGCGAGCGUUGUCCGGAUUUAUUGGGCGUAAAGGGCUCGCAGGUGGUUGAUCGCGUCGGAAGUGUAAUCUUGGGGCUUAACCCUGAGCGUGCUUUCGAUACGGGUUGACUUGAGGAAGGUAGGGGAGAAUGGAAUUCCUGGUGGAGCGGUGGAAUGCGCAGAUAUCAGGAGGAACACCAGUGGCGAAGGCGGUUCUCUGGGCCUUUCCUGACGCUGAGGAGCGAAAGCGUGGGGAGCGAACAGGCUUAGAUACCCUGGUAGUCCACGCUGUAAACGGUGGGUACUAGGUGUGGGGUCCAUUCCACGGGUUCCGUGCCGUAGCUAACGCUUUAAGUACCCCGCCUGGGGAGUACGGCCGCAAGGCUAAAACUCAAAGGAAUUGACGGGGCCCCGCACAAGCGGCGGAGCAUGCGGAUUAAUUCGAUGCAACGCGUAGAACCUUACCUGGGUUUGACAUGGAUCGGGAGUGCUCAGAGAUGGGUGUGCCUCUUUUGGGGUCGGUUCACAGGUGGUGCAUGCCUGUCGUCAGCUCGUGUCGUGAGAUGUUGGGUUAAGUCCCGCAACGAGCGCAACCCUUGUUCACUGUUGCCAGCACGUUAUGGUGGGGACUCAGUGGAGACCGCCGGGGUCAACUCGGAGGAAGGUGGGGAUGACGUCAAGUCCUCAUGCCCCUUAUGUCCAGGGCUUCACGCAUGCUACAAUGGCUGGUACAGAGAGUGGCGAGCCUGUGAGGGUGUGCGAAUCUCGGAAAGCCGGUCUCAGUUCGGAUUGGGGUCUGCAACUCGACCUCAUGAAGUCGGAGUCGCUAGUAAUCGCAGAUCAGCAACGCUGCGGUGAAUACGUUCCCGGG